AGAGUUUGAUCCUGGCUCAGGACGAACGCUGGCGGCGUGCCUAAUACAUGCAAGUAGAACGCUGAAGAGAGGAGCUUGCUCUUCUUGGAUGAGUUGCGAACGGGUGAGUAACGCGUAGGUAACCUGCCUUGUAGCGGGGGAUAACUAUUGGAAACGAUAGCUAAUACCGCAUAACAAUAGGUGACACAUGUCAUUUAUUUGAAAGGGGCAAUUGCUCCACUACAAGAUGGACCUGCGUUGUAUUAGCUAGUAGGUGAGGUAACGGCUCACCUAGGCGACGAUACAUAGCCGACCUGAGAGGGUGAUCGGCCACACUGGGACUGAGACACGGCCCAGACUCCUACGGGAGGCAGCAGUAGGGAAUCUUCGGCAAUGGGGGCAACCCUGACCGAGCAACGCCGCGUGAGUGAAGAAGGUUUUCGGAUCGUAAAGCUCUGUUGUAAGUCAAGAACGAGUGUGAGAGUGGAAAGUUCACACUGUGACGGUAGCUUACCAGAAAGGGACGGCUAACUACGUGCCAGCAGCCGCGGUAAUACGUAGGUCCCGAGCGUUGUCCGGAUUUAUUGGGCGUAAAGCGAGCGCAGGCGGUUUGAUAAGUCUGAAGUUAAAGGCUGUGGCUCAACCAUAGUUCGCUUUGGAAACUGUCAAACUUGAGUGCAGAAGGGGAGAGUGGAAUUCCAUGUGUAGCGGUGAAAUGCGUAGAUAUAUGGAGGAACACCGGUGGCGAAAGCGGCUCUCUGGUCUGUAACUGACGCUGAGGCUCGAAAGCGUGGGGAGCGAACAGGAUUAGAUACCCUGGUAGUCCACGCCGUAAACGAUGAGUGCUAGGUGUUGGAUCCUUUCCGGGAUUCAGUGCCGCAGCUAACGCAUUAAGCACUCCGCCUGGGGAGUACGACCGCAAGGUUGAAACUCAAAGGAAUUGACGGGGGCCCGCACAAGCGGUGGAGCAUGUGGUUUAAUUCGAAGCAACGCGAAGAACCUUACCAGGUCUUGACAUCCCGAUGCUAUUUCUAGAGAUAGAAAGUUACUUCGGUACAUCGGUGACAGGUGGUGCAUGGUUGUCGUCAGCUCGUGUCGUGAGAUGUUGGGUUAAGUCCCGCAACGAGCGCAACCCCUAUUGUUAGUUGCCAUCAUUCAGUUGGGCACUCUAGCGAGACUGCCGGUAAUAAACCGGAGGAAGGUGGGGAUGACGUCAAAUCAUCAUGCCCCUUAUGACCUGGGCUACACACGUGCUACAAUGGUUGGUACAACGAGUUGCGAGUCGGUGACGGCAAGCUAAUCUCUUAAAGCCAAUCUCAGUUCGGAUUGUAGGCUGCAACUCGCCUACAUGAAGUCGGAAUCGCUAGUAAUCGCGGAUCAGCACGCCGCGGUGAAUACGUUCCCGGGCCUUGUACACACCGCCCGUCACACCACGAGAGUUUGUAACACCCGAAGUCGGUGAGGUAACCUUUUGGAGCCAGCCGCCUAAGGUGGGAUAGAUGAUUGGGGUGAAGUCGUAACAAGGUAGCCGUAUCGGAAGGUGCGGCUG
rnacentral:rRNA from 4 species